UAAUUAAAAAAAUCAGAAAAAUUUAUUAAUUACGAUAAAUAAUAUGUGUGGUAAAUUAAAUUAGUUCUAUGCGGCCUAAAAUCCCCAAUAAAUAAGGUUUUUCAAAUUAAUUAAGCACAACAAUGGGCGGAGUGUUACAUCAUCCCCCACCUUAGAAAAAUUUGGUCCCCAAAUUUGUCUCGAACAGGUCCGGAUACUUUUCCCUCAUCUCGGUUUCCAACUCCCACAUUACUUUUUUUAGAGUAUGAUGCUACCAUCGCACGUUCACCAUGGGAAUCAUCUUGUUGCUCAUGACCUUGUCGGUUCACUCAAGAAUCUCCAUGGGAACCUCCUCAUAAGUCAUGUCCACUUGUACCUGCACCUCAUCGCGAGGAAUAAUAUGGUCAUACCUCUUUAUCAUUAAGACAUGAAAGACAUCAUGUAAACCCGUAAACUCUCAGGAUAGAGCGAGGCGGUAUGCCAUGAGUCCAAUGAGCUCGACGAUUCAAAAAGGUCCCACAUAACGAGGGCUUAACUUCCUUCUUUUCCUGAAUCGUAUCUUUCCUUUGUAGGGGAAAACCUUGAGGAAUACCUGGUCUCCCACGGUGAAUUCUGAGGGUCAUCUAUGAUUGUCAGCGUAACUCUUCUGACAGCUCUGGACAGUAGACAACUUCUUGCAGAUGAUCGCGACCUUCUCAACAGUCUCCUAAAUGAAGUCUGGUCCCAAAUGAUGCUUGUUUCUAACCUCACUCC
rnacentral:lncRNA from 1 species